rnacentral:rRNA from 1 species
GACGAACGCUGGCGGCGUGCUUAACACAUGCAAGUCGAACGGAAAGGCCCUGCUUUUGUGGGGUACUCGAGUGGCGAACGGGUGAGUAACACGUGAGUAACCUGCCCUUGACUUUGGGAUAACUUCAGGAAACUGGGGCUAAUACCGGAUAGGAGCUCCUGCUGCAUGGUGGGGGUUGGAAAGUUUCGGCGGUUGGGGAUGGACUCGCGGCUUAUCAGCUUGUUGGUGGGGUAGUGGCUUACCAAGGCUUUGACGGGUAGCCGGCCUGAGAGGGUGACCGGCCACAUUGGGACUGGGAUACGGCCCAGACUCCUACGGGAGGCAGCAGUGGGGAAUAUUGCACAAUGGGUGGAAGCCUGAUGCAGCAACGCCGUGUGCGGGAUGACGGCCUUCGGGUUGUAAACCGCUUUCGCUCAUGACGAAGCUUUGUGUGACGGUAGUGGGUAAAGAAGCACCGGCUAACUACGUG